rnacentral:rRNA from 1 species
CCGUGAAAAAAUUAGAGUGUUCAAAGCAGGCAGAUCCAAUUUUCUGCCACCGAAUACAUUAGCAUGGGAUAAUGGAAUAGGACCCUGUCCUCCUAUUUUCAGUUGGUUUGCCGCGAGGACCAGGGUAAUGAUUAAUAGGGAUAGUUGGGGGCAUUAAUAUUUAAUUGUCAGAGGUGAAAUUCUUGGAUUUAUGAAAGAUUAACUUCUGCGAAAGCAUCUGCCAAGGAUGUUUUCAUUAAUCAAGAACGAAAGUUAGGGGAUCGAAGACGAUCAGAUACCGUCGUAGUCUUAACCAUAAACGAUGCCGACCAGCGAUUAGGAGACGUUGAAUACAAAACACCACCAUGCGCAUUGCGGUCGUCUUUGGUGUCGCUCACAAGGCGACACCGGGCGCUAGCUCGCUAGGCCCCGUGA